GGCCAGUCCAAGUGCAGUGGUGUUUACAACUAAUUGAUCAUAAUAAUCAGUUACAGAUUUAUUUGUUCCUUCUCCACUUCCACUGCUUCACUUGGCAAACAUAUA
ensembl:misc_RNA Y_RNA Y RNA